AUGGACAACCUCUCUGUGCAUUUGGAAGACAAAGAGAAUGUGGGUAAUCGCUUUGUACUGGCACAGUUGGAGACUGCAUUGGAAGAAGUUACGAAGCUCAGCGGCAAAGUCGCUCAGAUGGAAAUCGCUGAGAGGAAGUUAAUGGAGCAGUGUCAUGAAGCCAGGACUACUGCCGAGAUUGCAGAGAAACAGCUGAAAGAAUCAACUAAUGCUUGCCACCUUUUAACAACGCGGCUGGAAGAGCUAGCUGGGUUCCUUGACUCUCUCAUAAGCCAGAAUGCAUCUCUCUCUGAGGAAAAGCGUCGCAUUCUCCAGGAAGCUGUAACACAGUCUCGGCUCCUGUCUAAAUCUUUGUCAGCUUCAUUUAUGGAUGGCACCUAUGCUGAGUCUGGAAUGGAGCUCUCACUGAAAUGUCCAUCUGUUGAGCCGAUCUUACCAGACUACUCAGAAAUUAAUUUCUCAAGUGAGGAGGAUGCUUUGGCCGAGGUUGAGUUAGAGACUCUUCAAACAGGAGCAGAGACCAAGGAACCAUCCUUAAAAGCUGAAGGCAAGGAUGAAGCUGAGCUGAAUCUUCUUCGAUCAGAGGUGGUUGCCCUCACAGAGCAGCUCAACUCGGUGAAUUUAGAAGUGGGUUCUGCGUCAGACUGCCCAAGCCUUCCCAAUUUCUGUGCAGAUUUUGCACAACGUUGUAUUCCAGUAUCAGGAGCAUCCAAAUUUGAUCCUAUGUUCUCCGUGACCGGCAAAUCUCUAGAGAGCCCAACAUCCAGAGCCAAGAAGCUUGCAGAUUAUGGUGGAUCAUGCGGUUCAGAAUCAGAAGUUUGGUCUGAACCAGACCGAUGUGCCUCUUUGGCUAGAAUUGGGCUCAGCAAGGAAUCAAUGGCAGGCACUAACCAAUGUUCAGAGACAGAAACAUCUGACCUAGAAGACAUCUCUAAACUCAAACUAUCAGGUAAACAGAGUAAAAAAAUAUAUGGUAAAUCGAUGAAACAGAAACUCCGUCUAUUUGAAGAGAUGAAUUCGUCAUUGAGACAAGAAAUUCAAAGUCUUCAUGGUGUGAUAGCGACAGUUUCUAAUAAGAUAAGUGAUGAAGAAUUUGUCCGCCAACUAAGGAGCCUGAACAGUCAGCUGUCAAGUUCCCAUUCAAAAUGUGCAAUUCUUGAGAAACAGCUUAUAAUGGCCAAUACACGAUGUCAGACACUCCUCGUUUUGCUGGAAGACGCACAACUCAAAUCUAAAGAUGCAGCCCAGCGAGAGGCUCGGAAAGGACACAUCAGCCAGGAAACAAUCCAUCAACUUGAGACACAAGUUAAAGGACUCGAAGCACAACUAGCUGAAUCCUCCUCAGAGCUUGGCUCCCUCUCUCAACUCAAAAAGGACUACAAUACAACGACGCAAGAGCUUUCUCAAGUCAAAUCAGCCCUAGCGGAAGAGAAGACUGCCCAUGCAGCCACGCAGGAAACGGUCUCACAACUUCGCGUUGAGAUCAAACAAGUACAAGCUCAUAUUCAAACGCAAAGGAAUGCAUCCUGGAAAAGGAGUGCGCCCUCCUGGAGGCCCAGAACAGACUCAAAGAGUGUGCAAUUGAGUUCGAGCUUCGCACCAAGGAAACGCAAGAGUGGAAUGAAAAGCGUGUGAAAGAAGUUGAGAACAGUUUAUGUGAGGCAACAGCUAAGCUCCAUGCAGCUGAGGCCAAGGUAUGAUUCUUAAUUAUGUGUAAUUAACGAUCAAAGUUUCAAACAAACAAUUUUGUUAAAGGGUGGAUAUUCUGAUAAUUGAAAAAUUUUUCUUGCAAUUCGCCAUAAAAUUGCCCACCUACCCACUCUUUUACUAAUUUUUUUCAGUAAAUACACAUGCCCUUUAGUCUAAAAACAAACUUGUUGAACAUCUGUAGUAAUUAUACCUAAGCCAGAUACAAAACUUAAAAUAACUGAUUGACACUGCUGAAAAGUGAACUCACAUAAUUUACAAACCAUUUACAAAAUUAAAUGGAAAAAGCAAUAGAGCUCUGCAAACCUCUCAUCUUAUUGCAAUGAAAGUAACGGAACCACUGAACAAAGGCAAAUGAUGUCAUCACAAUCUACAGCCAAAAUAAAUAAAAAAAAAGUCACUCAACACAAGGAUAAAAAUGUACGCUAUUUCCUUGCAAUUCCAAAAGAAUUAAACGUUUUACAGAUUUUUGAUUUUAUAUUUUGCCCAUAAAAUUUAGCUGGCUUCAGACUAAUGAUCAAAAUCCCAAAUUUUUAUUGUCUGCACAUAUUGAUUUUUAUGUACCUCCAAAAAAUUCAACAUUUUAGCCUCUUGUAAUAUCUCCACAAACCAUUCUAGGUAAUGGAACCACAUGCUUACUGUCCUCACUCAGAAAAGUUUCAAACUCCCUGAAUUCAUUCAGCCCAUAUUUUGUACUUUUCAAUGUAUUCACAUUUUUUUUAAUGAUU
rnacentral:lncRNA from 1 species